UUUUUUUUUAUGGUACAGAUCAUGUCCUGGUGAUAUAUAGUCAGGAAAACGUUUUUAUUAAGACUUUUUCCUGAAUUGCUGCAGCAGCUAGGAGAUAUAUAGAAGAUGGUAAUCAAUAAGGCAUGAGGACAUAUUGUUAAUAAUUCAAUAGAUAAAAAUACUAAAUACUUGUGCAGGUAGCAAGAUUCAUCCCUUCUAUGCUCUGAAUAAGGUAAGAAUCCUAAGAAACACACCAUGCAAUCACAAAAUUAAAAACUGUAUCAGACAGCUUUUGAGUUCAGGCAUUCUCACUUUCAAACUUAAUGGUUUUUUAAUGUAAUAUAUGAAUAUCAUAUGUCUGGAUGUAUAUAAAUACUCAUGUAUACAUAAGUAAACCACAAGCAAUCAGCAAAUUACUGUAACACCAGCUGUGUAUAUAUAGAACUAGCAAGAUCUAUACCACUAAAUUACUUCAUACUGUGGUGGCUUUACUUUUUUCUGCCUCAUUCUUUCUAUACAUGUACUCCAUUUUUUAUUUUAUUGUUCAUUUACUUGCAUUGUAAGAUCUUUGGGGCUGAGACUGUGGACAAUUUUUUUCUUUCAGAUGAUACGCAAAAGCACAUGGCCAAAUAUUCCUAAUGUAGUUCUGUCUUUUACUUUGAUUAAAUUUUGGCAGCAAUGUCCUCAGCCCCUUCCCAGACAGACAUCCUUAUCUACAUGGAUGCCACUAUAGAAACAGAAAUGUGUGAGUAAUUUUUCUUAAGAUGGUCUUCAGAAAAAAUAAGGGUGAUAGAACCAGGCCAGUGUGUCAUUCAUAAAACAGCCCGAGUGUUGACAAUUCCAACCUUUGCAGUGCGAGUACCAGGGGACAUGAAUCCUGCUGGUAGAUGUGUCCUUCAAGAAAAUGGAAUUUAAUGUCAAGUCACAUCCCUCUACUGCUCAUAUCCCCUUGCCGGUAAGCAAAUCAAAUGGCAUCUUUACCAGAUGACACAGGACCAAGCUCUUUGUUUAUGAAUAGCAAUUGCCAAAUCAUCCUGCAAGAGCCUUAAAAAGAAAAUUGCAUACAAAAUUAUAAAAUAAAUGAAAACAUUAAUCAUGAUGAAACAGAACCACAUUGAUGUUUGCCAGCUGGAUUCAGCCACUGACUGUGACGUGAAUGCUCUUCUCUCUUGGUUAACCCGAGAGGUGGAUUAAUCUUUUUUAUAAUUAACUUCAUAGGUAACAGUGCGAAUGUUUUUCAAAAAAACAGCUGAUCCAGCACAAAAUUAAGUAUGGGCUGGGGAGCAAUAAAAUCUCUAACACAUAUUUAAAAAAAAAAAAAAAAAAAA
rnacentral:lncRNA from 1 species